rnacentral:rRNA from 1 species
UACGUAGGGUCCGAGCGUUGUCCGGAAUUAUUGGGCGUAAAGGGCGCGUAGGCGGUGCGGUAAGUCACCUGUGAAACCUCUAGGCUUAACCUAGAGCCUGCAGGCGAAACUGCCGUGCUUGAGGGUGGGAGAGGUGCGUGGAAUUCCCGGUGUAGCGGUGACAUGCGUAGAUAUGCGGAGGAACACCAGUGGCGAAGGCGGCCUCCUGGUACACUCCUGACACUCAGACGCGAAAGCUAGGGGAGCGAACGGG